UAAAGGGUUCAUACCCUGCAGAAAUAAAUAAAGGGCAGAAGCAAAGCCUAAGGAAAUACUCCUCGAAAUUCAGGAUUCACGAUGGAGAACUACUCUUUGGCAGUCACAGAAGAGUCAUAAAGACAAAGGAGGAGGCUAUGAAUUUAUUUAAAGAAUUUCAUGCCUCACCUAUUGGAGGACAUACAGGAACCUUAAAAACACAAGCUGCCAUUUGUUCACGGUUCUACUGGUAUGGCAUGACAGUGGACAUUGACAAAUGGAUAUCUGAAUGUGACCAAUGUCAACGGGUGGGACCACCCCUGAAUGCAGUUAAAACUCUGGACUGGAUCAAGGUAUCUGCUGUUUGGGAGCUCAUCGGCAUUGAUCUCACUGGUCCACUCCAAAAAACAUCUACUGGGUAUCAGUAUAUAUUGACAGUCACUGACUAUUUUUCCAAGUGGGUGGAGGCCUUUCCUCAAAAGACAAAGUCUGCAUUGGAAGUAGCCAAAAACCUUUGUACAGUCAUUAUAGACAUGGCUGCCCUAAGCUCAUACUGUCAGACCAAGGACGAGUUGGUCAAUCAAAUCAACAGAACACUUUGUGAGCUGCUCUCUAUUGAGAGGAGUGUUACGGCUGCUUACCAUCCCCAAACAAAUGGGCUUGAUGAGAAAACCAAUGAU